UGGGGAAUAUUGCACAAUGGGCGCAAGCCUGAUGCAGCCAUGCCGCGUGUAUGAAGAAGGCCUUCGGGUUGUAAAGUACUUUCAGUCGGGAGGAAGGUGGUAAGGUUAAUAACCUUGGCAAUUGACGUUACCGACAGAAGAAGCACCGGCUAACUCCGUGCCAGCAGCCGCGGUAAUACGGAGGGUGCAAGCGUUAAUCGGAAUUACUGGUCGUAAAGCGCACGCAGGCGGUUGAUUGAGUCAGAUGUGAAAUCCCCGGGCUUAACCCGGGAAUUGCAUCUGAUACUGGUCAGCUAGAGUCUUGUAGAGGGGGGUAGAAUUCCAUGUGUAGCGGUGAAAUGCGUAGAGAUGUGGAGGAAUACCGGUGGCGAAGGCGGCCCCCUGGACAAAGACUGACGCUCAGGUGCGAAAGCGUGGGGAGCAAACAGG
rnacentral:rRNA from 1 species